CCUACGUGCGGCAGCAGUGGGGAAUAUUGGACAAUGGGCGAAAGCCUGAUCCAGCUAUGCCGCGUGUGUGAAGAAGGCCUUCGGGUUGUAAAGCACUUUCAGUGGGGAAGAAAGCCUUGGGGCUAAUACCCUCGAGGAAGGACAUCACCCACAGAAGAAGCACCGGCUAACUCCGUGCCAGCAGCCGCGGUAAUACGGAGGGUGCGAGCGUUAAUCGGAAUUACUGGGCGUAAAGCGCGCGUAGGCGGUCUGAUAAGCCGGUUGUGAAAGCCCCGGGCUCAACCUGGGAACGGCAUCCGGAACUGUCAGGCUAGAGUGCAGGAGAGGAAGGUAGAAUUCCCGGUGUAGCGGUGAAAUGCGUAGAGAUCGGGAGGAAUACCAGUGGCGAAGGCGGCCUUCUGGACUGACACUGACGCUGAGGUGCGAAAGCGUGGGUAGCAAACAGGAUUAGAUACCCCAGUAGUC
rnacentral:rRNA from 1 species